rnacentral:tRNA from 1 species
UUACUUAUAGCUUAAGAACAAAAAGCAUUUCAUUGUUAAUGAAAAGAUGAAUAAAUCUAAGUAAA